rnacentral:rRNA from 1 species
AGCUGGUUCUCCUCGAAAGCUAUUGAGGUAGCGCCUCGCGUCUAACUCAGGGGGGUAGAGCACUGUUACGGCUAGGGGGGACAUAAGUCCUUACCAAACCGUUGCAAACUCCGAAUACCCUGAAGUUCAAUCGCGGGAGACACACGGUGGGAGCUAAAUUUCAUCGUGAAGAGGGAAACAACCCAGACCGCCAGCUAAGGUCCCAAAAUAUUGCUAAGUGGGAAACGAUGUGGGAAGGCUUAGACAGCUAGGAGGUUGGCUUAGAAGCAGCCAUCCUUUAAAGAAAGCGUAACAGCUCACUCAUCAAGCGAUCCUGCGCCGAAAAUGUAACGGGGCUAAAGCCAUUUACCGAAAUUGUGGGCUUCUUUUAGAAGCGGUAGCGGAGCGUUCCGUAAGCCUGUGAAGGUGACCUGUGAGGGUUGCUGGAGGUAUCGGAAGUGAGAAUGUUGACAUGAGUAGCGACAAAGCGGGUGAGAGACCCGCUCGCCGAAAAUCCAAGGGUUCCUGCGUAAAGCUAAUCUGCGCAGGGUUAGCCGGCCCCUAAGGCGAGGCGGAAACGCGUAGCCGAUGGGAACCACGUUAAUAUUCGUGGGCCGAGGAGUGUGUGACGGAUUUCGAAAGUUGUCAUCCCUUAUUGGAUUGGGAUGGCGGCCUGGAAGUCCCAGGAAAUAGCCCUCCAUUAAGACCGUACCCUAAACCGACACAGGUGGAUAGGUAGAGAAUACCAAGGCGC